GGAACAAAUGGGGGCAGACUGAGCCACGAGCUUGAAGAGCCGGCUCUGCAUGAUUGUAUUAUCCCAAGAGACUCCGGCCCUGUUUCUCCCGCGCACAGAAGGGUUCUGUGCGCACUGAGGUUCAAAUGCAAGAAUAAUUGUGAACACAAAAGUACUAUUCCAAGGCAGAGACCACCGCCAUUCCUUGAACCUCACGGUAACUAUGUGCCAAGAGCUGCAUGAACCCGACCGAACUGAAUAGGAUGUGCAAGGACAUGAUAUAUGAGAAGACUUGAGUUCCAGUCCUGACUAUGGCACUGCCAGACACAGCUUUUAAGUUGUCUUCAGCAUUUACAUACUAUUAACCCAUACUUGGCCUCGUCUGAUCCUCAAAAAACUUGGCUUAUUGAAGAAGUUUGAAUCCAAGGGCAGUCCCCUUCCUGGCACAGCAAGCAAAAUAAAGUGAAGCCCCUGGAGGCUCAGGCUCCACAGCAAGACCACAGAGAAGACCAGCCCUCUCCCAUUGCCACAAAGACAAGAGAUAGCUUGAAAGAAGACAGCUAAAAGUGGACAAAGAUGAGCUGGGGGGCCCAUAGGAGAGGAUUCAUACCACCCAGCCCCCUGUGGCACCUUCUUCCAGCGUAAAAUCCCGCGAGACUGG
rnacentral:lncRNA from 1 species